UACGGGAGCAUGAAGGGUGCACGGUGGAUGCCUUGGCCUAGAGCGGCGAUGAAGGACGUGAUUAGCCUGCGAUAAGCUUCGGGGAGGCGGCUAUUAGCCUGUGAUCCGGAGAUGUCCGAAUGGGGAAACCCCUCUACUUCUAGUAGAGAUCCGUGGAGUCAUGUCCACGAGAAGCGAACCCGGGGAAGUGAAACAUCUCAGUACCCGGAGGAAAAGAGAACAAUAGGAAUGUGUCUCCGUGCGCACAUGCUUGUGCGUAUGGAGACCCAUUCCACGUCAUUCCCCAAGUAGCGGCGAGCGAAAAGGGAGAAGCCCAAACCGUACUCUUCGGAGGACGGGGUUGUAAGGUAUGGACGUCUAGCUUGCUAGAGAAGAGUUACCAAUCGUCAUCAUAGCCGAAGCUGCUGGGAAGCAGCGCCCCAGAGGGUAAUGGCCCCGUAGGCGAAAUGCUGACGACUCUUUUGUCCAUAUUCUUGAGUAGUUCGAGACAUGAAUAGCUCGAAUGAAUCUGCCGGAACUAACCGGUAAGGCUACAUACGCUCUAUGACCGAUAGCGAACUAGUACCGUGAGGGAAAGGUGAAAAGCACCCCGAGAGGGGAGUGAAAUAGAACUGAAACCGUGCACUUACAAAGGGUCGGAGCCCGUUCCCGCAAGGGAGGGUGACGGCGUGCCUAUUGAAGAAUGAGCCUGCGAGUGUAUCUACGUCGCGUGUCUAAGGGGUUACGCCCCGGAGGCUAAGCGAAAGCGAGCGUUAAUAGCGCGUCUGCGGCGUCGAUACGACCCGAAGCCAGGUGAGCUUGCCAUGAGCAGGGUGAAGGUUGCCGAAAGGCAGCUGGAGGCCCGAACCCGUUCGUCGUACAACGCGUUGGGAUGACUUGUGGUAAGGAGUGAAAAGCUAAUCGAACCUGGGAAUAGCUGGUUCUCUCCGAAACAGCUUUUGGGCUGGCGUCGCCAUAUGCGCAGUGGGGGGUAGAGCACUGGAAGGGGCCAACAGGGAGAAAUCUCGUGGUCCCUAUCAAACUCCGAAUACCCGCUGCUCGGGCGGCAGUUAGAAGGUGGGGGCGAAGCUCCAUCGAUCGAGAAGGGAAGAGCCUAGAUCGCCAGUUAAGGCCCCAAAAUCGACGCUCAGUACAUCACAAGGAAGUGCGGAUUCACUGACAGCGAGGAUGUUGGCUUAGAAGCAGCCACCAUUCAAAGAAAGCGUAACAGCUCACUCGUCGAGAGUCCGUGCGCCGAAGAUGAUCGGGGUUAAGCGUCGUGCCGAAACUGCGGGUUUGCCGCGUACGUGUACGCGGCAAGCGGUAGGAGAGCGUUCUGUUCGCGAUGAAGCCGCAGGGGUGACCCGCGGUGGAGCGUUCAGAAGUGAGAAUGCAGGUACAAGUAACCACAAUGCGGGUGAGAACCCCGCACGUCGAAAGACCAAGGUUUCCGGAGCUAUGGUGAUCAUCUCCGGGUUAGUCGGGCCUAAGGGGAUGGCGAGAGCCGCACCCGAUGGACACACGGUCAAUAUUCCGUGACCGUUCGUAAGGCGAAGGAGUGACGGACUGCUGUAGCUGCCGCCCAUUAUUGGAUUUGGGUCGGCGCGGUGAGCGCGCGUGGUAGGCAAAUCCGCCACGCACUAGCGCGAGCCGCGACGCAAUUUCCUCCUACGGGGGGAGAGAGGGCAGCGAGCGCGGUUCCAAGAAAACCUCCUAGCAUUCAACUUGCGAACGACCGUACCGCAAACCGACACAGGUGGUCAGGGCGAGUAGCCCAAGACGAACGAGUGAGAGAUCCUCAAGGAACUCGGCAAACAAGCGGCCGUAAGUUCGCGAUAAGGCCUGCCCCUUCGCCCGCAAGGGCGGCGGGGCCGCAGCGAAAGAUUGCCUGGCAACUGUUUACCAAAAACACAGCUCCCUGCGAACUCGUAAGAGGAAGUAUAGGGGGUGACGCCUGACCGAUGCCGGUAGGUUAAGUACGGGCGGUACAUGCUUUCGGGUAUGUGCUGGACUGUAUAUGCCCCGGUGAAUGUCGGCGAUAACUAUGGACGAUCGUAGUUAUAAAAUUCAGCUAAAUGCGGGAAACUCUGGUUAGGACUCCGCGCUACUCGGGAUGAAAGACUCCCUGUAACAAUGCGCGAGUGCAGACAAUCCGCAGGAAAGACCCAACAUGAAAAACAUCAACGACAUACCGCCCCAUAUAGGGUGGUACAUCGCAGGAUUCGUAGACGGAGAAGGGAGCUUCAACGUUUCCUUCCGUCAGCGGCCUGAUCAUACGAUCGGGUGGCAGACGGUACUAACGUUCAAUGUCGCGCAACGCGACAAGACCGUGCUCGCGCUUAUGAAGCAGCACCUUGGGUGCGGUCGACUGCAAGCGCGACGCGAUGGCGUCUGGUACUACGUCGUGGCGAAUCCGCGAUCCAUAGAAGAGCGGAUCAUUCCGUUCUUCGAGCGGUUCGGAUUCUUGUCCGCUAAAUCCAAGAAGAACUUCAAACUCUUCAAGGACAUCGCGCACCAGGUGUUUCAGAAGAAGCAUCUGACACGGCAAGGGCUCGAAGAGAUAGCGCAACUUCGCGAACUUCUGAACGAAGGUCGCGGCAGGAAGCGCAAAUAUACCAUCGAGCAUAUCGUUGGCGAUGGGGUUGGGAAUCCUCAGAGACUACACGCUGAACUGGGCGAGAGCUCAGAUGAUAUAGUCCGAACUCACGGGCGAUCGUGAGAGUUGCCGCUUCGCGGCAGAGUAACAAAGUGAAUCGUCCUAAGGUCUCACGCUCGACGACAGUCGAACGUGGGAGGAUUGGGACCCAUUAUAGUCGGUAAAUAGGUUGCGCUAUUCGAAGCUACCUUCCGGUAUAGCAAUGUACCGGUUAAUCCUAAACACGACUCACAUGAGAGGCCAUACGUCGUGCCCGUUUCGGCGGUGAAGAUAUGGUCCAGGUUCGAGGAAUACCUGAGCGCAAUUCCUUGUCGGGUAAAUUCCGACGUGCACGAAUGGCGUAAUGACUGGGCAGCUGUCUCGAGGAUUCGCUCGGUGAAAAUGCACUUCCGGUGAAGAUGCCGGAUACCUGUAGUUAGACGAAAAGACCCCAGGAGCUUUACUACAGCUUCGUAUUGGCCCUGCGGGAUGUAUGCGUAGCAUAGGUGGGAGAGGUUGAAGCGGCGCUCUUGGGUGCCGUGGACUCGUCAGUGAAAUACCACUCUUACAUCCGGCAGUGCCUAACCGGUAGGGCGGAACCCUAUCGGGACCGUGCGUGGCAGGUAGUUUUGGUGGGGCGCUAUCCUCCUAAAAAGUAACGGAGGAGCCUAUUAAGGUCAGCUAGGCGCGAAUGGAAACCGUGCCGAUAGUGUAAUGGCAUAAGCUGGCUUAACUGCAAGGGGGACAUCCCGAGCAGAUGCGAAAGCAGAGCAUAGUGAUCCGACCUUCCGCCUUAGACGCGGAGGAAGCUCAACGGAUAAAAGUUACCCUGGGGAUAACAGGCUAGUUCCGCCCAAGCGUCCAUAGCGACGGCGGAGUUCGGCACCUCGAUGUCGGCUCACCUUAGCGCGGGGGUGGAGAAGCUCCCAAGCGUUUGGCUGUUCGCCAAUUAAAAA
rnacentral:rRNA from 1 species